UUGGCAUCUCAUGUGUUGGAUUCUGAAACUUGCGACAUGCAUCUGCUUAGAAGAUCCUUCUCUGAUGUUGAUGUGCCUCUUGUUGAUUUGUUUUUUUUUUUGAGAAAGGUAACAUGCCUCUGUUGAUUUGUAAAUAUCUAAGUAUGAUCAGAUAUGAUUUUGUAGGAUUUAAAUUGAUCUUAUAAAAUCAUAUCUGAUAUGAUAUUGAAUAGGUUAGGAUAUUAGAUCAAUGAAACCAUCCCUUGAUUCUCAAAUCUGCCAGAAUCAAGGGAUUUGAUUGCUAGUUAGUUUAGUUUUCUAUACUAUAAAUUUGUAUCUCUAUGGAUGAAUAAAAUUGUACAACUUUGGUACCAAAACUUACAGCCUCUAAUGAUUCUUAUGUUAUCAUUGUUUGUCUGUAGCUGUGCUCUGUUAUUUGAGCAGACCUCUUUGAAGGAUGAAGUCAACUGGGUUAUGGGUGGAAUCUCCUUUGUUUUCUCUGGUUCUAGAUGAACCUUGCCACUUUGUGUGCUAUGUUCCCC
rnacentral:lncRNA from 1 species